CCAUGUACGAGCAGCUCCGAGACAUCGCUAUUGACAACAUCUGCAGGUGCCUGAAGGCUGGAUUGACGGUGGACCCAGUGAUUGUGGAGGCGUUCUUGGCCAGCCUGUCCAACCGGCUCUACAUCUCUCAGGAGAGCGACAAGGACGCUCACUUGAUUCCCGACCACACAAUCCGAGCCUUGGGACACAUUGCGGUGGCCUUGAGGGACACCCCAAAGGUCAUGGAGCCCAUUCUGCAGAUCCUGCAGCAGAAAUUCUGCCAGCCACCCUCCCCCCUCGAUGUGCUGAUUAUUGACCAGCUGGGCUGCCUGGUUAUCACCGGAAAUGUAAGGGAGGCCAGAGCCAGAACACCACUAACCCUAUGCAAGCUACGUUAAACUCUUGACUAUAAGGGAUGUACAAAUACAGAUUAAAUAUACCUUGCAGAUGAGCUAAAUGCUGACAACGGUUUUAACACGGAGUAGUAAGAAUAGUGUAAG
rnacentral:sRNA from 1 species